UGAUGGUGACAGACGUCUUGCCCUGCAUAUAUAUUUAAAGGGAGUCCUAUUGCUUUUCCACAGAAAACAUUCACUUAUGAAGGUAGUGAGACAGAAUAGUGACUGAGCACUUCAUUCCUAAGACAGAAAUCCUUUCUCCUGGGUGGUCUGUCUAGGCCAUCCAUUGGAAACUGCAGAAGAACAUACACUGAGGUUGAAUGUAUCAGAAGAUUGCCAUCAAAAGAAGGGACAGAAAUGCCUCUGAAUCAACACAAUGUUAGGUUUCGUAAAUAUCACCGGCCCUUUGGCUUUUGCAAACGUAUCUAUUUAGACUAGAAGAAGUAUUUAUGAAGGGAGGAAACUGUCCUGCCCAUACCACCCACUGCGAUUACUAUUAAAAAUACCAAGAUUUCCUUUUGGGUUGCCUGUAACCCCUGAAGGUUAGAUGAACAAUGGAUUCCAAAUGUUUUCUUGAGUGCCUUGUUAUGAUUGGAUUUAUGAGAAAGUUCACUUGCAACGAUCCACCCUUAUAAGAGCUUUGGAAAAGCAAACAUUUUCCAUUUUCCCUGAGCAAUCAGUAUACAAAGUAGAGCACAAUUAAACCCACCGUGUUCUUUUGUUUCAA